GACGAACGCUGGCGGCGUGCUUAACACAUGCAAGUCGAGCGGUAAGGCCUUUCGGGGUACACGAGCGGCGAACGGGUGAGUAACACGUGGGUGAUCUGCCCUGCACUUCGGGAUAAGCCUGGGAAACUGGGUCUAAUACCGGAUAUGACCUCCUAUCGCAUGGUGGGUGGUGGAAAGAUUUAUCGGUGCAGGAUGGGCCCGCGGCCUAUCAGCUUGUUGGUGGGGUAAUGGCCUACCAAGGCGACGACGGGUAGCCGACCUGAGAGGGUGACCGGCCACACUGGGACUGAGACACGGCCCAGACUCCUACGGGAGGCAGCAGUGGGGAAUAUUGCAUAAUGGGCGAAAGCCUGAUGCAGCGACGCCGCGUGAGGGAUGACGGCCUUCGGGUUGUAAACCUCUUUCAGCAGGGACGAAGCGCAAGUGACGGUACCUGCAGAAGAAGCACCGGCUAACUACGUG
rnacentral:rRNA from 1 species